GAUGAACGCUAGCGGCAGGCUUAAUACAUGCAAGUCGAGGGGCAGCAUGAAUGUAGCAAUACAUUUGAUGGCGACCGGCAAACGGGUGCGGAACACGUACACAACCUUCCUAUAAGUGGGGAAUAGCCCAGAGAAAUUUGGAUUAAUACCCCGUAACAUAAUGAUGUGGCAUCACAUUAUUAUUAUAGCUACGGCGCUUAUUGAUGGGUGUGCGGCUGAUUAGAUAGUUGGCGGGGUAACGGCCCACCAAGUCUACGAUCAGUAGCUGAUGUGAGAGCAUGAUCAGCCACACGGGCACUGAGACACGGGCCCGACUCCUACGGGAGGCAGCAGUAAGGAAUAUUGGUCAAUGGACGCAAGUCUGAACCAGCCAUGCCGCGUGAAGGAUUAAGGUCCUCUGGAUUGUAAACUUCUUUUAUCUGGGACGAAAAAAGGCGAUUCUUCGUCACUUGACGGUACCAGAUGAAUAAGCACCGGCUAACUCCGUG
rnacentral:rRNA from 1 species